CAGCCCUAAACGAUGCGCGUUAGGUGUAUCGGUGACCACGAGUCACCGAGGUGCCGAAGGGAAACCGUGAAACGUGCCGCCUGGGAAGUACGGUCGCAAGGCUGAAACUUAAAGGAGUUGGCGGGGGAGGCACCACAACGGGUGGGAGGCCUGCGGUUUAAUUUGGACUCAACGCCGGGAAGCUCACCGGAUAAGACAGCGGAAUGAUUGCCGGGCUGAAGACCCUGCAUGACCAGCUGAGAGGAGGUGCAUGGCGUAGUCGUGU
rnacentral:rRNA from 1 species